AAGGGUGAGGAACGCGUGAGCAAUCUGCCCUCCAGUUGGGAAUAACAGUUGGAAACGACUGCUAAUACCGAAUGUGGCUCAUCGGUCGCAUGACUGACGGGCUAAAGAUUUAUCGCUGGAGGAUGAGCUCGCGUCCCAUUAGCUAGUUGGUGAGGUAACGGCCCACCAAGGCGACGAUGGGUAGCUGGUCUGAGAGGAUGGUCAGCCACACUGGGACUGAGACACUGCCCAGACUCCUACGGGAGGCUGCAGUCGAGAAUCUUGGGCAAUGCGCGAAAGCGUGACCCAGCAAUGCCGCGUGCGGGAUGAAGGUCUUCGGAUUGUAAACCGCUGUCAACCGGGACGAACACAAUGACUGUACCGGUGAAGGAAGCCACGGCUAACUACGUGCCAGCAGCCGCGGUAAUACGUAGGUGGCGAGCGUUGUUCGGAUUUAUUGGGCGUAAAGGGUUCGCAGGAGGUUUGUUAAAAUUGGGGUGAAAUCCCGGGGCUCAACCCCGGAAUUGCCCUGAUGACUGACAGACUAUGAGUGCUGGAGAGGUAAGCGGAAUACCAAGUGUAGCGGUGGAAUGCGUAGAUAUUUGGUAGAACACCAAUGGCGAAGGCAGCUUACUGGACAGCUACUGACUCUCAGGGACGAAAGCGUGGGGAGCAAACAGGAUUAGAUACCCUGGUAGUCCACGUCGUAAACGUUGUCGACUUGAUGUGGGCGGAUUUAGUCCUGUCCGUAUCGAAGCUAACGCGAUAAGUCGACCGCCUGGGGACUACGGCCGCAAGGCUAAAACUCAAAGGAAUUGACGG
rnacentral:rRNA from 1 species